GUAAGGACGCGUAGGCGGGAAGCCAAGUCUGAUGUGAAAUCCUAUGGUAAACCGUAGAACUGCAUUGGAAACUGGUUACCUAGAGUAUGGGAGGGGGAGAUGGAAUUAGUGGUGUAGGGGUAAAAUCCGUAGAUAUCACUAGGAAUACCGAAAGCGAAAGCGAUCUCCUGGAACAAUACUGACGCUAAGGCGUGAAAGCGUGGGGAGCAAACGGGAUUAGAUACCCCGGUAGUCCACGCCCUAAACGAUGUUCACUAGUCGUCGGAAUGCUAGUCAUUUCGGUGAUGCACUUAACAGAUUAAGUGAACCGCCUGGGGAGUACGGUCGCAAGAUUAAAACUCAAAGGAAUAGACGGGGACCCGCACAAGUGGUGGAGCAUGUGGUUUAAUUCGAAGAUACGCGAAGAACCUUACCUAGCCUUGACAUUGAAGAAACACUUUAGAGAUAGAGUGGUGCCCUUCGGGGAAUCUGAAAACAGGUGCUGCACGGCUGUCGUCAGCUCGUGUCGUGAGAUGUUGGGUUAAGUCCCGCAACGAGCGCAACCCUCGUCCUUAGUUGCCAGCAGGUUAAGCUGGGCACUUUAAGGAGACUGCCUUCGCAAGGAGGAGGAAGGUGAGGACGACGUCAAGUCAUCAUGGCCCUUAUGGCUAGGGCUACACACGUGCUACAAUGUGGCGUACAGAGAGUUGCGAUACCGCGAGGUGGAGCCAAUCUCAUAAAGCGUCUCUCAGUUCGGAUUGGAGUCUGCAACUCGACUCCAUGAAGCUGGAAUCACUAGUAAUCGUAGAUCAGCAAUGCUACGGUGAAUACGUU
rnacentral:rRNA from 1 species